UGGCGAACGGGUGAGUAACACGUGAGUAACCUGCCCUUGACUCUGGGAUAAGCGCUGGAAACGGCGUCUAAUACCGGAUACGACCUGCCCCGGCAUCGGGUGCGGGUGGAAAGUUUUUCGGUCAAGGAUGGACUCGCGGCCUAUCAGGUAGUUGGUGAGGUAAUGGCUCACCAAGCCGACGACGGGUAGCCGGCCUGAGAGGGUGACCGGCCACACUGGGACUGAGACACGGCCCAGACUCCUACGGGAGGCAGCAGUGGGGAAUAUUGCACAAUGGGCGAAAGCCUGAUGCAGCAACGCCGCGUGGGGGAUGACGGCCUUCGGGUUGUAAACCUCUUUUAGUAGGGAAGAAGGGCUUCGGCUUGACGGUACCUGCAGAAAAAGCACCGGCUAACUACGUGCCAGCAGCCGCGGUAAUACGUAGGGUGCAAGCGUUGUCCGGAAUUAUUGGGCGUAAAGAGCUCGUAGGCGGUUUGUCGCGUCUGCUGUGAAAACCCGAGGCUCAACCUCGGGCCUGCAGUGGGUACGGGCAGACUAGAGUGCGGUAGGGGAGAAUGGAAUUCCUGGUGUAGCGGUGGAAUGCGCAGAUAUCAGGAGGAACACCGAUGGGCGAAGGCAGUUCUCUGGGCCGUUACUGACGCUGAGGAGCGAAAGCGUGGGGAGCGAACAGGAUUAGAUACCCUGGUAGUCCACGCCGUAAACGUUGGGAACUAGAUGUGGGGACCUUUCCACGGUCUCCGUGUCGCAGCUAACGCAUUAAGUUCCCCGCCUGGGGGAGUACGGCCGCAAGGCUAAAACUCAAAGGAAUUGACGGGGGGCCCGCACAAGCGGCGGGAGCAUGCCGGAUUAAUUUCGAUGCAACGCGAAGAACCUUACCAAGGCUUGACAUAUACCGGAAACUUCCAGAAAUGGUUGCCCCGCAAGGUCGGUAUACAGGUGGUGCAUGGUUGUCGUCAGCUCGUGUCGUGAGAUGUUGGGUUAAGUCCCGCAACGAGCGCAACCCUCGUUCUAUGUUGCCAGCACGUCAUGGUGGGAACUCAUAGGAGACUGCCGGGGUCAACUCGGAGGAAGGUGGGGAUGACGUCAAAUCAUCAUGCCCCUUAUGUCUUGGGCUUCACGCAUGCUACAAUGGCCGGUACAAAGGGCUGCGAUACCGUAAGGUGGAGCGAAUCCCAAAAAGCCGGUCUCAGUUCGGAUUGAGGUCUGCAACUCGACCUCAUGAAGUCGGAGUCGCUAGUAAUCGCAGAUCAGCAACGCUGCGGUGAAUACGUUCCCGGGCCUUGUACACACCGCCCGUCAAGUCAUGAAAGUCGGUAACACCCGAAGCCAGUGGCCUAACCG
rnacentral:rRNA from 1 species